rnacentral:lncRNA from 1 species
AUGCCUGGGAAAACGAGCUGCACGAGCCCCGUUGCCCUGUGCAGUGCCUGUUCAGUGGGGGAUGUGGGGUUUUAUUUAUCUGCUGUCCUUAUGAGAAGAGAUUUGUCCCUGCUCUGCAUAAAUGUGCUUCUGCUUGUUCCUUGCUUUCCUUUUUCAGCCAGGAGCUGGAGCAGCUCGUUGCUGUCUGUGAGCCUUUGUAACCAAUUGCAAAGCAGCUUCAAAGCCCACUCAAAUCUCGUCAGCACCGCAGCUCUUUGUGAGGCCCCCAGGACAGGACAAAAGAUGCUCCUGCAGGAGUGCAUGAGGUCAUUUAAUCGGUGUGCUGCCUUCUGAAGGGUGCCUGAGCCUCUGAGGGGUGGGCUGAGGUGUCGCUGCUUCCCAGUGAGAUUAAAUUUCACUUUAUCACUCCUUAUGGACAGGGGAUCCCUCACUGCCCUCCCGUGCCUUGGGAAUCCUGUCCAGAUCUCUGCUCCUGCAGGCAGCAAACCUGCUCCCACUGCUCCUGCCACCGAGCAGGAAAAGCCAAGGGAUGGGUGGGAAUUCCUGCAGAGCAGGAAAACCUUUAGGCUGGCCUGGGCUGGGUUUGAAAUGGGUUCCACAGAACCAACCAGCUGCCCCCUGAACAUGGUGAAUUCGAUGGCACUGAAAAAUUGCAGUGCCUAGAAAAGGAAAAGCUGAUCUCCAGUUAACUGCUAUGUGUUCAGCAUCAGGCAAAAGAGGAAAAAAAUCCAAAUUUAACAGUAGCAUGUUGCUCAUCCAGAAAAUUUUUGACUGGAUGCACCACAAACUGACUUUUUGAAUCAUCACACCAAGUACAGGGCUAAGUCUGCAUGUAAGGCUCUGUCUGGGCCAAACUCCAAAUUUCAGUUAGCUCCAUGUUAAAUUGGGUGCUGUCUGUUCUGGGGUUUUUUUCCACACAUUGAACUUGUGCUGUCUUUAAAUUACAGGAUUUUUUUUGUAGCUUUAUUUGUAUAAUAUGCAUAAAUAUUAUAUAAAUAAAUAGAGUAUUAGAUAACUAAUUGUAAUAUCA